CCGGACGCCCUAUCGGGUCCGGGACGUCGGCGAUGGAUGCCAUCGGCGACGAAAAUCGAAACUUGUACCCAUGUUGCUUCAAUGGAGGAUGUGGCUAUGAGAA
rnacentral:sRNA from 1 species